UACGGGGGGAGCAAGCGUUGUCCGGAUUUACUGGGCGUAAAGGGCGCGUAGGCGGUCAGCACAAGUCAGUUGUGAAAUCUCCGGGCUUAACUCGGAAAGGUCAACUGAUACUGUGCGACUAGAGUGCGGAAGGGGCAACUGGAAUUCUUGGUGUAGCGGUGAAAUGCGUAGAUAUCAAGAGGAACACCUGCGGCGAAGGCGGGUUGCUGGGCCGACACUGACGCUGAGGCGCGAAAGCCAGGGGAGCGAACGGG
rnacentral:rRNA from 1 species